AGUAUCACGCCGGACUGAUCGGGCUACUCUGAUGACGUAGAAAACGGGCCAUAAGCCCUGAUACCU
rnacentral:tRNA from 1 species